CAGCCUAGAAGCACCAGCUCAGAGCACAGCCACACAUUACUUCUUCAAAUGACCUUGGACCUCAGAGCCUUCACUAUAAGUAGGUACAUGGUACCUCUCCCAGGGAUGUUGUGGGACCCAUGAAGAGUCCGCUGUCUGUGAUGUGCAAGGUGCUCUGAGUCAGGUGCAGCUUGUACUGCUAUAGGAGCCUAAGAAUCUGCCUCACCUACACUCCCUCUGGGCAAUUAGGUAUGCUGAAAAUGCCCAACAGACAUUCAGGACUACAUUGGUAUCUGUUUAAGGAAAAUCCUCAGCUGCUCACACAGUAAUGAAAGAGACAAGCUAGAAAAUUACUACUUGAUAAGACUCUGCCACAGUCUCUCCAGAGGGGAAGGGAGAAGGGGUGGAUCACAGCACCAUGAAGCAUGCUUAUGAUUUUUCAACCAAACUCCCUUGAACAGCAGUUGUACUCCAAUGUGGUGAAGCUAUUUUAGCAUCUGUCAUUGUCCUGCUCAGCACACUCCACUCCCUUGCUAAAAGCUUAAAAGGUCUCUGGGAUCCUAAGCAUAUUUAACAAAGAUUUAAAAUGCUCAGGCACCAGGUAGCCUCUGGUGGCGAUGUCUGGACAGAGCUGCAGCUGGUGAGCACAGAAGGGGCUUCUUCACAUUGACUCAGAUAAACAACAUGCAAAACAGCAGCUAAGCCUCUGACUCAAAUUGAGGCAUCAAGGCCAAGUCAAGGUAGUAAGACAUAGCAAUAUCACAACCCCUCAGCUAAGGGGUCUGAUGCAGAUGCAGGACUUUCGAGUAAGUCUUGACAAAAUGCACAACCUGGCCAAGCGUGGUGGCUCACACUUGGAAUCCCAGCACUUUGGGAGGCGGAGGUGGGUGGAUCACCUAAGGCCAGGAGUUCGAGACCAGCUUGGCCAACAUUGUGAAACCCUGUCUCUACUAAAAAUAACACAAAAAUUAGCCACAUGUGGUGGCGAGUGCCUGUAGUCCCAGCUACUCAGGAGGCUGAAGCAGGAGAAUCACUUGAACCCCAGCCUUUUCUCCACAAGGCAGCAGAGUGAUUGUGUCGGUGUGGCGAUCCCCACAACGGCGUGCAGACCCUACUCCUGGGGCCAUCCGUACCCCUCUGGCCUCCUUCCCAACUCCUCACAGGCUCACUCCCCUGGGGCAGUUUCCUGGGGACCUGUCCGCCCUCUUGCUGAGCUCCUGCAGUUCCCCUUUCUCAGGGCAAUCUCUCCACCACCCUGGCUCCUGCUGCCAACCACUGCUUGUGCUCCUUCCCAGUGCUGAGUAGCUCACAUGCUAAAUGCCCUGUCUCCUCCACAGGACUAUGAGCCUCAGGGCAGGCUCGGCCACCCAUGCAGAGCCCAGGUGAGAAGGAGUACGAGGUCCAAGGGUCCAGGGAGUGAGACGACCUGCGGUGCACAAGACAUGCUAGGGCAGGGUGGUCGAGGCAGCUCCCUGGGCUUCUCCUUCCCUUUGGUGGCACUGCUCUCUAAAGCUCCACUGAUGGGAUGGUGUGUGCAUGAAGGGCAAAGGAGGCUUGCUAUUCUUUUAACUUAAUAAAGAAAAGUGAAGGUGUGACUCACCAGUCCUAAACCAGGGUGUGUCCACCUUGGCACUAUUGACACUUGGGGCUGAUCAUUAUCUGUCAUGGGAAGGGUGGCUCUCCUGUGCACUGCAGGGAAUCCCUGGAAUACCCUGGCCUUUGCCGACUAGAUACCAGUAGUACUCCCUCACCACGGUUUUGAUAACCCAAAAUAUCCUAAGAUGUUGCUCAAAUGUCCCUGGGGCAGUAGCAAAAUCACCCCGGCUGAGAACCCCUGUCCUAACUCUAAGGGACUGCAGAGAAGGGAGCCAGAGCCUGGAGACAUGACCAGACUCAGCUACAGUCACAAGGAGAAGCAUUCAAACUGUGGCCUCAGUAAGGCCAGCACCAGCUCACCCCACUGACCCUUGAUCACAACAGGUGCUAAUUCCCAAAGUCCAGUAAUUAAAGUCCUGGGAAACUCUCACCACAGGGUGGAGCAGUGGGCCCUCAGAGAAACCCCACGUACAGCUCUUUUUACCUAUACCUGACUUGAAGGGCCCCUUGUCACAUGCUGUCCUUCAUCCAAACAUCAGGGGAGUUGGGAGAGGGACCUCACCUUUGGGGGCUUGAACGGGUAAUCUGUAGGAAAGUGGAUGGUCAGGAAGAAAACACCUCCUUGGUAAGGACUGUCAUUCUGGAAGGAUGAGACACAGAAAGAGAUCAGUGCAUGUGCUAAGCCCAAAGUGCAAGAAGCAAAACUGGAGUGGUGCGCUCAGCAGCUACUACCUACCGGGCCCAUGAUGGUGGCCUGCCAGUGGAACACUACAAAACAAAAGAGAGACGGGCAUGUAAGAGACCCCCCAAGAAACAUGUCAUUCUACUGAAAACGCACUGCUAAAUUACAGCGCACUGUCUACACAAGAUGCACUCACUUCUGACACCAACUGCAAGACUGGGGUUCCCCAAACCACCCAAGAUGCAAUAACUGCCUAGGACUCCCAGAGCUCACUGAAAGUGGUUGUGCUUAAGAUUGCUGGUUAUCACAGGGAAACAACAUAGGUUAACAUCAGGAGGGUCCAAACGCAGAGUUUCUAUUCUUCUCUCUCCGUGGAGUCAGGAUGUGUUACUCUCCUGGCAUUGCUGUAUGGCAACACACACAGAACACCCAAUCAGGAAUGCUCACUGGAGCCUCCGUAUUCAGAAUUCUCAUUGGAGCUCCACCCUGAGAGCAUGACUGACUUAUUUGAAUGCCCAUAGGACUGAUCUCAGGCUCCAGUCUCCAGCUCCUCCAGGCAUGAUCCAAGCCCCCACCUUAUUUUAUUUUUUAGUUUUUUGAGAUGGUCUCACUCUGCCACCCAGGCUGGUGGGCAGUGGCAUGAUUAUAGCUCACUGCAGUCUCAAACUCCUGGGCUCAAGCUAUCCUUCUGCCUCAACCUCCUGAGGAGCUGGGACAACAGGUGUGUGCCACCACAUCUGGCUAAUUUUUUUACUUUUAUUUUUUCAUUUUUGUAGAGAUGGGGUCUUGCUAUGUUGCCCGGGCUAGGCUCUCACCUGAAAUCACAUGGCUGGUCUACUUGGUAUGGCCAUUCCUCACCCUAAAUCACAUUGUUGGUGUGCAUUAAAGCUUCCAGCCAAACAAAGACAUUCCUAUCAGGUAUGGUAUCUUACAGAUCGCCCCCUACGUGUUAAGGAUGAAGGCCAGAUCUUUUGGGGACAAGAUUAAAUUCUUUUUGUUGUUAUUGUUUUGUAGAGAUGGGGUUUUACCAUGUUGCCCAGGCUGGGCUCAAGAAAUCUGCUAGCCUCAGCCUCCCAAAGUGCUGGGAUUACAGGCGUGAGACACUGUGCUUAGCCAAGAUUAAAUUCUUUACUACACAAAUGCCAGUAACUACAAUUCAGUCAGUUCUUUGCACAGAAUUAAGCCUUGGCUAGGCUUCAGCCAUUUUCCUUAUUGCUCUUUAUAAACCCUUCUAUUCCUUGGUUCUUCUCCUGAUUCAUUGUGAAGCCCUCUUCAAAGAGUGUCUCUCAGGAGCCAACUGCCCGUGGCCCUGGAGCCUCAAGGGUGCUGCCUUCAUCUGAGUCCUCUCCUGCCCAACCCCUGGGCAGUGCCCUGUGCUCUAGGCACUCAGUAACAAGGUCACGAUGAGCCCCUCUCAUGCUUCCCUUCCAGGUCACCACCAUUUGGUGAGAGUUUAGAGCCCCCUCUUGCUGCACAUCACACCCUCUCCAGCAUCUCAGGUGACUUUCACUGCUCUACCCAUUCCCAGAAAAGCUCCUGUGUAUCAGCAAGGCUAGCCCAGUAUGGCCCAAACACUCACAUUCAAGGCUCCCAAGUCAUACAAAUGGUCCCAGGGAUAUUGACUCUAGGGCCUUGGUGGAAAAUGCCUACUCACCCACAGGAGUGGGUUGCUGGGAUCAUCUGAAGGGCCUGUUAUUACCAAGAGAAUUCUGUCUCAUAUGGAUUCAUAGUAGAUAUGGAAUUAGCCCAGAGUUUCAGACCUGGUCCUGUCCUGGGUUUCCUGUCACCUGUUUAAGUACCCCACAGGCUCUACACAACAGGAGGCCUAGGAAAGCACCAAGGUUUGGGGUGGGAGCACAAGUGCAGGGACUAAAGCAGAAGUUUCCCAAGCCCCUAGAGGUGUUCAAAAGUAGUCAAGGUGGCCCAUGAGCCCUUUUCAAUAUUUCAAAGAAAUGGUGCUGAAAAGAACACCUUUACCUGUAAUAAGCCUG
rnacentral:lncRNA from 10 species